GAUGAACGCUGGCGGCGUGCCUAAUACAUGCAAGUCGAGCGAACGGACGAGAAGCUUGCUUCUCUGAUGUUAGCGGCGGACGGGUGAGUAACACGUGGAUAACCUACCUAUAAGACUGGGAUAACUUCGGGAAACCGGAGCUAAUACCGGAUGAUAUUUUGAACCGCAUGGUUCAAAAGUGAAAGACGGUCUUGCUGUCACUUAUAGAUGGAUCCGCGCUGCAUUAGCUAGUUGGUAAGGUAACGGCUUACCAAGGCAACGAUGCAUAGCCGACCUGAGAGGGUGAUCGGCCACACUGGAACUGAGACACGGUCCAGACUCCUACGGGAGGCAGCAGUAGGGAAUCUUCCGCAAUGGGCGAAAGCCUGACGGAGCAACGCCGCGUGAGAGAUGAAGGUCCUCGGAUCGUAAAACUCUGUUAUUAGGGAAGAACAUAUGUGUAAGUAACUGUGCACAUCUUGACGGUACCUAAUCAGAAAGCCACGGCUAACUACGUG
rnacentral:rRNA from 1 species